CAAGGUGAAACCUAAUUGGCCUGAAGAAGAGCUUGCGUCUGAUUAGCUAGUUGGUGGGGUAAAGGCCUACCAAGGCGACGAUCAGUAGCUGGUCUGAGAGGAUGAGCAGCCACACUGGGACUGAGACACGGCCCAGACUCCUACGGGAGGCAGCAGUGGGGAAUUUUCCGCAAUGGGCGAAAGCCUGACGGAGCAACGCCGCGUGAGGGAGGAAGGUCUUUGGAUUGUAAACCUCUUUUCUCAGGGAGGAAGUUCUGACGGUACUUGAGGAAUCAGCCUCGGCUAACUCCGUGCCAGCAGCCGCGGUAAUACGGGGGAGGCAAGCGUUAUCCGGAAUUAUUGGGCGUAAAGCGUCCGCAGGUGGUCAGCCAAGUCUGCC
rnacentral:rRNA from 1 species